rnacentral:rRNA from 1 species
GACGAACGCUGGCGGCGUGCUUAACACAUGCAAGUCGAACGGAAAGGCCCUGCUUGCAGGGUACUCGAGUGGCGAACGGGUGAGUAACACGUGGGUGAUCUGCCCUGCACUUCGGGAUAAGCCUGGGAAACUGGGUCUAAUACCGGAUAGGAGCCAUUUUUAGUGUGAUGGUUGGAAAGUUUUUUCGGUGUAGGAUGAGCUCGCGGCCUAUCAGCUCGUUGGUGGGGUAAUGGCCUACCAAGGCGGCGACGGGUAGCCGGCCUGAGAGGGUGGACGGCCACAUUGGGACUGAGGUACGGCCCAGACUCCUACGGGAGGCAGCAGGGGGGAAUAUUGCACGAUGGGCGCAAGCCUGAUGCAGCGACGCCGCGUGGGGGAUGACGGCCUUCGGGUUGUAAACUCCUUUCGCUAGGGACGAAGCUUUUUGUGACGGUACCUAGAUAAGAAGCACCGGCUAACUACGUG